rnacentral:lncRNA from 1 species
AAGAUCAACGGUCCACGUUACACCCUCCCCUUUAAACCAACCUAAACCCCUAACCCUAAAUAUUCUAUACCACCUCGCCGCCCUGAAAUUCCCUCGUUUCUCAAAUCUCAUGAACCCUAGCCAUCGUUCAUAUCAAACCCCCCCAAAUCCUGCCCCAAAACGGAAUCCACCAUGGAUUCCCUUACCUUAUUUACCUCUCCUCACCACUGGCUAAUCGUUUAUGAUCUUACUUAAUUGUUUGCCUAACAUGGCAAGCAAAUCUUGAUAAAAUCGAACCAAAUCGGUUCACACCUCUAAUUUCUGUGGCUAUUCCGUCUAUGUUCAUCAUUGAUUCUUUGUGAGUAACGAAUAUUCUUCAUAUCUGUUGAUGAUUCUUACCUACCCCAAAUUAGAGUUUUCAAACCCUUUCAAUCAGACCAAAAUAGGUCUGAUUUUCUGAUUUUUAAUGUUAUUCCCCUUCUAUUCAUCUUAUUUAUGCGAUUUUUACCUUAUUUUCCACUGAUUUCACACUUUUCCUAAAACUAGGGUUUGAAACUUUCUCCUUUUCUUACCGAUUCUAGUGAAUCUUCCCUUUUUGUGUUCGAUUACUUUCUUUCCUUAUGUUUUCCUUGAUUUUUACUUUAAUAUUUGUUUAAAUAUUCUGAAUAAUUUUUGUUUUGGUAUUAUUUGUGUUUCCUUUAAUAUUUGCUUAAAUAUUCUGAAUAAUUUUUGUUUUGAUAUUAUUUGUGUGUCCUUUAAAGUCUGCCUUAAUAAGUCUGAACGAUUUGUGUUUUGGUAUGUCUGUGUAUUUACCUUAAAUAUUUUGAAUAAUCUCGGGUGUUUCCCUGAUUUGCUGAAUCCCUUGAUUUGUGCCCUAAAUUACCUAUAACUGAUUCUGAAAUAUUUUCUUGCAUAUGACUUAUUUGUUUCCAUGUUUAUGUGCUGAUUUCUAUCACUUUAUAUACUAUUCCCCCAUUCCCUUUUAAAAGGACCUUCGACUACUUUCUGAACUCACUAUAGACUUACCUAAGGUUAUUCUGAUUUUGCAUUCUAUACUCUAACUUUGGCAGGCUGGAAGCCAAGGCCAGUCAGCUCUGAAAUCUUGCUAUAUACCGUGGACUUCCAUAUAUUGCGCAUUUUUCUCGCUUAACUGGUGAGUCACCUAACUUCUGCACUUUCAUUCUUACAUGUUCCUGAUUUAUAUAUGUGAUUACUACUGAAUUUGUCAUUCAAUAUGCUUUGGAAGGGUGUUUAAGUAUAGCUCUAUCAAACCUGUAUGUCUUAGUCACUUUAACACUUAAUUACUCCUAAUGUUACCUGUGCUAAAGUUAUUUGAACUUAUUUAAGGUCUAUCCAGUUAGUGUAUCAAUCCUUGAAUGCCUAUGAACAUGUUUAUCCCCUUACCCUGAAUCCCUG